UGUGUAUAUGUGUGUGUACGUGUGUGUGCAUGUGCGUGUGUGUGUGUCUGCGUGUAUGUGUGUCUGUGUGUGUGUGAUAUAUGUGUGUGUGUGUAUGUGUGUGCAUGUGCAUGU
rnacentral:miRNA from 14 species